ACUCCUACGGGAGGCAGCAGUCGGGAAUUUUGCGCAAUGGACGAAAGUCUGACGCAGCAACGCCGCGUGAGGGAUGAAGGCCUUCGGGUUGUAAACCUCUUUUCUCAGGGACGAUAAUGACGGUACCUGAGGAAUAAGCCACGGCUAACUACGUGCCAGCAGCCGCGGUAAU
rnacentral:rRNA from 1 species